AAGCGCUCAUGACCAGACUUGGGCUUGGCGGAUCAUCCGGCGUUCUCGCCGGUGCACUUCGCCUCGCCCAGGCCAGCAUCAGUUCGCGCCGGGGGACAAAAGCUUCGGGAAUGUGGCUCCUCCGGGAGUGUUAUAGCCCGUUGCAUAAUACCCUGGUGCGGACUGAGGUCCGCGCAUCUGCAAGGAUGCUGGCGUAAUGGUCAUCAGCGA
rnacentral:rRNA from 1 species